GUGGGGAAUAUUGGACAAUGGGCGAAAGCCUGAUCCAGCCAUGCCGCGUGUGUGAAGAAGGUCUUCGGAUUGUAAAGCACUUUAAGUUGGGAGGAAGGGCAGUAAGUUAAUACCUUGCUGUUUUGACGUUACCGACAGAAUAAGCACCGGCUAACUUCGUGCCAGCAGCCGCGGUAAUACGAAGGGUGCAAGCGUUAAUCGGAAUUACUGGGCGUAAAGCGCGCGUAGGUGGUUUUGUAAGUUGGAGGUGAAAUCCCCGGGCUCAACCUGGGAACUGCCUCCAAAACUGCAUGGCUAGAGUACGGUAGAGGGUAGUGGAAUUUCAUGUGUAGCGGUGAAAUGCGUAGAUAUAGGAAGGAACACCAGUGGCGAAGGCGACUACCUGGACUGAUACUGACACUGAGGUGCGAAAGCGUGGGGAGCAAACAGGAUUAGAAACCCGUGUAGUCC
rnacentral:rRNA from 1 species